GGAAAGAUGGCCGAACUGCUAUGUGGGCUUUUUGUUUACCGAGGGUUCGAAUCCCUCUCUUUCCG
rnacentral:tRNA from 1 species